rnacentral:rRNA from 1 species
CACGCCCUAAACGAUGUCAACUAGUUGUUCGGUGAGGAGACUCAUUGAGUAACGCAGCUAACGCGUGAAGUUGACCGCCUGGGGAGUACGGCCGCAAGGUUAAAACUCAAAGGAAUUGACGGGGACCCGCACAAGCGGUGGAUGAUGUGGAUUAAUUCGAUGCAACGCGAAAAACCUUACCUACCCUUGACAUGCCAGGAACUUGCCAGAGAUGGCUUGGUGCCCGAAAGGGAACCUGGACACAGGUGC